rnacentral:rRNA from 1 species
UACAGAGACUGCAAGCGUUAUUCGGAUUCACUGGGCGUAAAGGGUGCGCAGGCGGCCGUGUGUGUCAGGUGUGAAAGCCCGGAGCUUAACUCCGGAAUUGCGCCUGAAACUACAUGGCUAGAGCAUUGGAGAGGGUAGCGGAAUUCACGGUGUAGCAGUGAAAUGCGUAGAUAUCUGCAGGAACACCCGUGGCGAAAGCGGCGCGCUGGACCACUACUGACGCUGAGGAACGAAAGCUAGGGGAGCAAACAGG